GGGACCCGCGGCUGUCCCGGGAUGUCCCCGGGCUGUCCCCGGGCUGUCCCCGGGCUGUCCCCGGGCUGUCCCCGGGAUGUCCCUGGGAUGUCCCCGGGAUGUCCCCGGGAUGUCCCCGGGCUGUCCCCGGGAUGUCCCCGGGAUGUCCCCGGGCUGUCCCCGAGCUGUCCCCGGGCUGUCCCCCGGCUGUCCUCGAGUUCUCCCGGAGCCUCCGGAGCUUCGGCAGCGCCGGGAGCAGCGAGGGCAGCGCCGGGCUCGGAUCUGUCCUGGCCCAGUCCCUGGCCCGGGACAUUCCCGCUCCAUCCCGGUCCAUCCUGGGACAUUCCCAGUCCAUCCUGGGACAUUCCCGAGACAUUCCCGCUCCAUCCUGGGACAUUCCCGGUCCAUCCCGGGACAUUCCCGGUCCAUCCUGGAACAUUCCCGGUUCAUCCUGGGACAUUCCGGAGCCAUUCCCGGUCCCAUCCCGCUCCAUCCCGGUCCAUCCUGGGACAUUCCCGGUUCAUUUUGGGACAUUCCCGCUCCAUCCCGGGACAUUCCCGGUCCAUCCCAGGACAUUCCCGGUCCAUCCCGGUCCAUCCUGGGACAUUCCCAAGCCAUUCCCACUCCAUCCAGCCCAUCCCGGUCCAUCCCGGUUCAUCCCAGCCCAUCCCGGUUCAUCCCAGUCCAUUCCCGGUCCCAUUCCCGGUCCAUCCCGGUGCAUUCCCGGUCCAUCCCGGUCCCAUCCCGGUGCAUUCCCGGUCCAUCCCAGCCCAUCCCGGUCCCAUCCCGGUCCAUUCCGGUCCAUUCCCGGUCCAUCCCGGUCCAUCCCAGCCCAUCCCGGUCCCAUCCCGGUCCAUCCCAGCCCAUCCCGGUGCAUUCCCGGUGCAUUCCCGGUCCAUCCCGGUCCCAUCCCGGUCCAUCCCGGUCCAUUCCCGGUCCCAUCCCGGUCCCGGCUCCGCCGCCCCGCCCGCCUCUGCUUUAUCCCGCUCUCAAUAAAGUCGUUCCCUGCAUCAGCCGCCGCUUCCCGAGCCUCAUUCCCGGUCCCAUCCCGGGACAAACCCCGCCCGUUUUUCCAUGGAUUCCCCACCCCUGGAGCCACCUGGAACACCGGGAAUGUCCCUGCCCGCGGGGUUGGGGUGGGGUUGGAUGGGAUUUAAGGAUCUUUUCCAUCCCAAACCAUUCCAGCAUUCCCUGGGUUGGUUUCUUUGGGAUUUCUGGGAUAAAUCCUGGAUCCUGCUGGAGAUUUUCCAUGGAUUUCCCAUCCCUGGGAGUCUCCAGGACCCCCUGGCACGCUGGGAAUGUCCCCAGCCCGGGAUUUUUAAGGAUCUUUUCCAUCCCAAACCAUUCCAGGAUUCCCUGUUUUGGCUCAGAUGGGAUUUUCGGGAUAAAUCCCGGAUCCUGGCCCGGAUUUUUCCAUGGAUUCCAUGGAUUCGAACCAAAAACUUGCCAAAAAUCCCCCCCGAGGAUUUGGAAUUUCAGCUGCUGGAAGGAGAAUUUUAUUGGGAUUUUUGAUCAGAAAUAUCAGAAAAUGAUUUUUUAGCUCCAGAAUUGGAAUUUUGGCAUCAAGCUCCAGGGAAAAAGUGAUGGGGAGGGAAAAGGAGGUGGAAAAAAUGGGAGAAAUCGGCAAUUUCCUGGGAUCAGAGGCGGACGUUGGAGUCCGUGAAUUCCCAAAUCCAGAAUUCCCAAAUAAAUCCUGGGAUUCCCGGGAUCA
ensembl:lncRNA